rnacentral:lncRNA from 1 species
CGAAGCUCAACGGGUCGAAGAAUUUGCCGCCGGGGUAACCCUGCUCGCCGGUGGAGUUGGCGAAAUUCUCCGAAGUUUUGGACCAUGGGGUGGCCCACUCCACGGAUUGCGACUCCGGGUUGAAGAAAUCCACCCACCUCUUGCUCUCCACCCACCCCAUGAGGAGGAGUUGGGUCCCGAGGAGGGUUCCGAACGAGAAGGGGGCCACAGCCCCCGGGGCAGCUCCUGCUUCGAACCAGGGGAUGCCGCUGUAGGCCUGGCCGACAAAGAUGCCGAGGACUGCCGCCAUGGCCCAUCGUCCGUGGAUCAGCUCCGCUUCUCUGUACCAUUUUAGGAAAGACGGGUCUUUUCCGAGUCCCAAUGGGUCGAACCCGAAGUCGCCGGGGAGCCUGCAAAACUCAUAUAUGGUCAAACAUAUGCUACAUCCGGUGAAAUAUAUAACGUCUCGGUACUUACGAGUAAAUGUCUAGUAGACACACUAACACUGACACUAAACACACUUUCGGUAGUUACGAGUAAAUAGUCAGAAAUAUGCUACAUCCGGUGAAAUAUAUACAGUCUCGAUACUUACGAGUAAAUGUCCAGUAGACACAAUAAGGGGUACUUACGAGCCAUCGAGCCACUCGGGGUCGAGGAGGUUGCCGCCACCCUUGACAGCGGGGAUCCAAGACUUCUUGGCGGCGGCAGCCACAACGACGAGUCUCUUGGGAGCGGCGGCGGCGGCACCACCGGAGGUUCUGGCGGCAAAGGGGGCGGACAACAAUGCCUGGCUCUUCUUGCCACCGGUCAAGAAGGCGGAUCCCAAGCCAUUAACCAAUGCAGCAGAUGUGGAU